CCGAUGUCAUAACCACAAAAAAUAUUUUGGCGGGGCUAUGUUGUCAAUUUUUAAGACGAAAUAGCCCCGUCGAUUAUGUAUGAAUUUGCAAAAAGCUAGUGACGUGUUACGAUUGGCUUUCUUAUCGACAUAAGCAUAAAUGUUGAGGCAACUGACAUUGUAGUAGGGAUAGAAAUUUGAUCUCAAUAGUUAUUAAUACGAUUCCUUGUCUUUUUGUUUGUUGCAAUUUUAUUAACUAAGAGUCAUCUUGUUUUGUUUUGUAGCAAUUUUAUGUGUGUUUUGAAUACUUAUGUUGAUACACUUUUAUCAUUUUGUUCCUUAAUAAAGUUUACUACUUACUUAAAUGUGUUUUUUUAAUACCUGGGUCAAAAAAAUUGGAAUCAAUUUGAAUUAUAUUUGGAAGUUUAGAAUGUAUUGCUUCUUUCGUAAGAAAAAUUGUUCUACCUUAUGGGGCCCUAACGCUAUGUGGCACCCUCAACACUUAUUAAUUAAUUACUUGAUGAAAACAUAAUUUAUCCAAAAUCUAUUUUGGGUGAAUUGAAGUGGUAUUACACUUAUAUUAAGUAUACCAUAUUAGAAGCCACUUAACUUUUCAUAUUCAAAUUGAUUCCACACAAAAAGUUAUCGAUAUUUCAAAAAAGUUAUAUCGAUAUUGUGUGCGCGUCACUAUCUUGUAUGGACGCUAGACGGAAUAGCCCCUCCAAAAAUUUAGAAUGAUUUUUCUCGAAAAUGAACCUUAUGUCUGCGUAACUAAAUACAAAUUCAAAUAGGCAGCGUCAUCAGUAUUGUAUAUUUCUGGGUAAAAUGGAAAUUGCUCCACAGAUGUCGUUCUAUUAAACUCUUGACGAAAUAACCCCGCGCGGGGCUAUUUUGCCCAAAGUCAACUCCUAUUAGAAUAUAGCUAUUUUCUUAGCUACUGCAAUCGUUUUUCACGUUCUAAAUAUGAUGAAUAGAAUAAGAAAUAACGGCUUGCUUUGAUGUAAUUGACAAAUUUUCCGUAGUUAUUAUUUAAGAAAAAAUACAGACGUGUUCUUUUUUGAGUGUUAUUUUUCGGACGGAAUAGCCCCGCCCUUCUAUAUUAAUAUAUUAAUUAAUAUUUUAUUCAAUAAAUAGGUUAAAAUGAGUGUAACAUUCAGUAAGAAUCAAAUACCAUGAUGUGGUUUAUGACAAUACGGAGAGAGAUUCAUAGUAAAAACAUGAUUAAAGUUAAAUAAAUAGAACAUAUAAAUGAAAUUUAACAUAGAACCAAGCCAUUUGCUAACUUAAAGGCCGAGAAAUUUCCUUUUGCAAACAAGAACCAAAGUCAGUUGGUUCUGGUUACCUUUAAAACUAAUGAAGCUUUUUGUGAUAAAAUAGAACCAACCAACUUUGGUUCCAGCUUGCAUAAUGAAAGUUGGCGAAAUUGGGUUGGUUCCGCAACUGACAUGUAAAAAACUCCACUUACAGUAGUCAAAACUCUACCAAAUUUUUUGAGAAGGUAGAAAACGUUUUUUUAACACUAGCUGUGUACUUAACUCAAUUUCACAAAAAAUGUGGGCUGGUCCCUGUUUGCAUAAAUAGGUCCAAAUAGAAUAAUAAAACUAACUUAAAUAACAGAAUAUUGAAUGCAAGUUUAUUAAUAGACCUAGCCUAACCCAUUUAAAAAUGCUACAUAAUUAAAUUAUAUCGAUUUCAUUUCAUGUGUUGAUUUCCAAGAACUAUGUAAUUCAUAAACCUAGGUUUAGUAUCUAUACACUAUAAAGUGCAUGCGAAUUUGAACACUUGGUUCGUAGUUUAAAGACUAUAUUCGUGUGAAGUUUAAUUAUCAUAAUAGUAAUGUGAUACAAUAAUACACAGUCCAUACAAUAUUGUUGACCCUGACGUUUGUGUGCGAAGAAUUAACAAAAUGCUUAAUUUCAGAGAAAUCAGUACAAAUUGUGCUAAAUGCUUGCUCCUAGCUUUGAACGUGUGUUGCAUAGUAAGUAUUAUAAAUAAGAGACGUUUGUGCACUUGAAAUAAUUAGGUAAGUACUAAUAUAAAAUUUACGAAGAUCCUAAAGGCAUUUAUCCGAUUUUAAUAAGAUGAUUCUAUCCAGAAGAGCUAAAUUUAAGGUCUCUUAAUAAUUAAUAAAACGAAUUUUAAUGCAAACUACAUAUCGUGAGUGACUUCAUUAUAAAGGACGUAUGCUGCUUACAAAUGCACAAAAAUACAUACAUCUGAUUGCGCCUCAAGAAUCACCAGAAGACAUUAUUUUUUAUUAGACGAAAAAAACAAGCAACUCUACAUGAUACUUGAGCGCAUUUUUGUAAAAAAUAAUUUUAGAAUUAUACAAUAUACAUAAUACUUUGCGAAGAUACCACCUUAACAUCAUUUCUUUUAAGAAUUGUACAUUCUUCUUCUUCGUUUAUAUGGACGAAUUAUACAUAUGUCCAGUGUAGUCCAGGAGAGUCAGGAUAAGAAUUGUACCAAUACAGCUCAUUGUUUUUCCAGCUAAUUUCGCUCUGUACCUUCAUAUUCGCGGUGGUGGAUACCAGAGUCCUCAAGCAGUACGGCGAGGAGUAUGCCGCAGGGACCUACAUUGGGGACGUGGUGGUGAUCGUGGCCUGUCUGCUGGUGCUAAGCGUGGCGGCGUUUGGCAGCAUUGGAGCUUUGAGAAAUAAUGUCAAGAUGUUGUACUUGCAUCGGCUUCCUCAUGAUCACAGUGGUCAUAGAGUUACUAGUCACCAUCUAUGUAGCUGUGCAGAGGUAUGGCUUGGAGUUCCGAGUGUCGGAUUGGCUGCGAGAGGACUUCUUCAAGAACAUUACUGGUGAAGAGAUGGAGCACAAGCAGUUGUGGGACCAGCUGCAGAGUUCUGUCUUCAAGCUACUUCCCCGAUGGGUGUGAAGAUGAAAUCCUGGAAGUGCUACGAUCAGAUGCGGAAUGGUUAUUCGGUGUAGCUGUCACCAGUUUUUGGUUUGAGGCAGCAGGAAUGCUUCUGGCGAUGUGGGUGGCGAAUAAUGAAAGAAAUAAGAUUCAAGCAUAUACUCAAACUGUGAAAUAUUAGUAAAUUGUUGUAAAUAAAUGUUUUCAUAGUUA